rnacentral:rRNA from 1 species
CCUACGGCGCUCAGCAGUGGGGAAUAUUGGACAAUGGGCGAAAGCCUGAUCCAGCCAUGCCGCGUGUGUGAAGAAGGCCUUCGGGUUGUAAAGCACUUUCAGUGGGGAAGAAAGCCUUGGGGCUAAUACCCUCGAGGAAGGACAUCACCCACAGAAGAAGCACCGGCUAACUCCGUGCCAGCAGCCGCGGUAAUACGGAGGGGUGCGAGCGUUAAUCGGAAUUACUGGGCGUAAAGCGCGCGUAGGCGGUCUGAUAAGCCGGUUGUGAAAGCCCCGGGCUCAACCUGGGAACGGCAUCCGGAACUGUCAGGCUAGAGUGCAGGAGAGGAAGGUAGAAUUCCCGGUGUAGCGGUGAAAUGCGUAGAGAUCGGGAGGAAUACCAGUGGCGAAGGCGGCCUUCUGGACUGACACUGACGCUGAGGUGCGAAAGCGUGGGUAGCAAACAGGAUUAGAUACCCGAGUAGUC